rnacentral:tRNA from 2 species
AGGUCAGUGGCUAUCCCGUCCGCCUGAAAAGCGGAAGGUCGCCGGUUCGAUCCCGGCCCUGGCCA